AACGAACGCUGGCGGCAUGCCUAACACAUGCAAGUCGAACGAGACCUUCGGGUCUAGUGGCGCACGGGUGCGUAACGCGUGGGAACCUGCCCUCAGGUUCGGAAUAACUCCCCGAAAGGGGUGCCAAUACCGGAUAAUGUCUUCGGACCAAAGAUUUAUCGCCCUUGGUUGGGCCCGCGUUGGAUUAGCUAGUUGGUAGGGUAAAAGCCUACCAAGGCGACGAUCCAUAGCUGGUCUGAGAGGAUGAUCAGCCACACUGGGACUGAGACACGGCCCAGACUCCUACGGGAGGCAGCAGUGGGGAAUGUUGGACAAUGGGCGAAAGCCUGAUCCAGCAAUGCCGCGUGAGUGAUGAAGGCCUUAGGGUUGUAAAGCUCUUUUACCCGGGAUGAUAAUGACGGUACCGGGAGAAUAAGCUCCGGCUAACUCCGUG
rnacentral:rRNA from 1 species